UACAAAUGUGAAGAAUGUGACAAAGGUUUUAAUCGAAGACCAUUGUUUACUGACCACCAGAUAAUUCAUACUGGAGAGAAGCCCUACAAAUGUAAAGAAUGUGGCAAAAGUUUUAAUCAAAGAUCAUAUCUUAAAGAUCACCAGAAAAUUCAUACUGGAGAGAAGCCCCACAAAUGUACAGAAUGUGACAAAGCUUUUGUUCACAAAUCACUGCUUACUCGACACCAGAGAAUGCAUACUGGAGAGAAGCCCUACAAUUGUGAAGAAUGUGGCAAAGGUUUUGUUCAAAAAUCGCUGCUUACUCAACACCAUGGAAUUCAUACUGGAGAGAAACCCUACAAGUGUGGAGAAUGUGGCAGAGGUUUUUAUUACAAAUCAAACCUUAUUCAACACCAAGGAAUUCAUACUGGAAAGAAGCCCUACAAAUGUGGAGAAUGUGGCAAAGGUUUUAAACAAAGAUCAUCUUUGAAAGAUCACCAGGGUAUUCAUACUGGAGAGAAGCACUACAAAUGUGAAGAAUGUGGCAGAAGUUUUUAUUACAGGUCAAACCUUACACAACAUCAAAGAAUUCAUACUAAAAAGAAGCCCUACAAAUGUGAAGAAUGUGGCAAAGUUUUUGAACAAAGAUUAUAUUUUAAAGAGCACCAGAGAAUUCAUACUGGAGAGAAGCCUUACAAAUGUCAAGAAUGUGGAAAAGCUUUUAAACGAACAGAUAAUCUUUCUCUCCACCAGAGAAUUCAUACUGGAGAGAAGCCCUACAAGUGUGAAGAAUGUGGCAGAGCUUUUGUUCAUAAAUCACUGCUUACUCAACACCAGAGACUUCAUACUGGAGAGAAGCCUUACAAUUGUAAAGAAUGUGGCAAAGCUUUUCGUCAAAAAGAACAUCUUAUUUGCCACCAGAGAAUUCAUACUGGAGAGAAGCCGUACAAAUGUGAAGAAUGUGGCAAAGAUUUUAAUACAAAAUCAUUGCUUACUGAACACCAGAGAAUUCAUACUGGAGAGCGGCCCUACAAAUGUGAACAAUGUGGCAAAGCUUUUGUUAAAAAAUCACCACUUACUCGACACCAGAGGACCCAUACUGGAGAGAAGCCCUAUAGAUGUGAAGAAUGUGGCAAAGAUUUUAAGCAAAUAUCAGCUCUUAAAGGACACCAGAGAAUCCAUACAGGACAGAAGCCCUAUGCAUGUGAAGAAUGCGGCAAAGCUUUUUAUGACAGAUCAAACCUUGGUCAACACCAGAGAAUUCACACUGGAGAGAAGCCCUACACGUGUGCACAGUGUGGCAGAGCUUUUGGGCACAAGUCACUGCUUACUCGACACCAGAGAAUUCAUACAGGAGAGAAACCCUACAGUUGUCAAGAAUGUGGCAAAGCUUUUAGUCAAAAAGAAAAGCUUAUUUACCAUCAAAGACUUCAUACUGGAGAGAAACCAUACACAUGUGAAGAAUGUGGACAGGCUUUUAUUCAAAAAUCACAGCUUACUCAACACCAGAGAAUUCAUAGUGAAAAGAAUUCCUACACUUGUGAAGAAUGCGGCAAAGGUUUUUAUCACAGAUCAAGCCUUACUCAACACCAAAGAAUUCAUACUGGAAAGAAGCCCUACAAAUGAAACAUUCUCCCAAUGCCUGAAAGGAUGGUUCAACCCUUAUUCUACACAGGAGGAAUCAACAGAGAGAAAUAGAAAUUUUUUAAAAAGUGGCAAAAUUUCCAACAGUUGUUCAUUCACACUGUAUUCAGCCCCUGAGAAUUCAUACUUUUGAGAGAGAAUACAAGUGGAAAGAUAUCACAAGGCUUUUAGCCAUUGUUCAAAUAUACUAAAAACUGGAGGAUUCAUAAUGCAUU
rnacentral:lncRNA from 1 species